GAGAGAACAGGACACAGGGUGAUACACAGCAGAGACACAGAGGUGGAGAAGAAUGCCAAGGUAAAGGACAUCUCAAAUAGGCUUGAAAGGAUAUUGGUGUGGGAAGAGGAGAGUCCAGUUGUUUUGGUUCAUGCUGGGACCACAACAUGGGACAAUUCUCACAUGCCAGGAACAGGUCAAGUGAACUUUGGUUGCUCUCCCUUGAAAGACAAGCAUCUGCUUCCUCAGAGACAGUGCGGAGCGAAGGGGAAGUGGCCCAGUGCAGAGUGUGACAGCAGCCAGUGGUCAGACCAGAUGGUGGCUGCCUGGGCUGGUCUACUGCAGAGAGCUCCUGAAGAACGAGACUGUCAUGUUUGUCUUUUUAACUCUGCUUUUCUGUCCUGUAGUUAUACCGUAA